UGCCAGCAGCCGCGGUAAUACGGAGGGUGCAAGCGUUAAUCGGAAUUACUGGGCGUAAAGCGCGCGUAGGCGGUUAGUUAAGUCGGAUGUGAAAGCCCUGGGCUCAACCUGGGAACUGCAUUCGAUACUGGCCAACUAGAGUACGAGAGAGGGAGGUAGAAUUCCACGUGUAGCGGUGAAAUGCGUAGAUAUGUGGAGGAAUACCGGUGGCGAAGGCGGCUUUCUGGACCGAUACUGACGCUGAGACGCGAAAGCGUGGGGAGCAAACAGGAUUAGAUA
rnacentral:rRNA from 1 species